rnacentral:rRNA from 1 species
AUUGAACGCUGGCGGCAUGCUUUACACAUGCAAGUCGAACGGCAGCACGGGGGCAACCCUGGUGGCGAGUGGCGAACGGGUGAGUAACACAUCGGAACGUGUCCAGUUGUGGGGGAUAACCCAUCGAAAGGUGGGCUAAUACCGCAUGAGCUGGCAACAGGAAAGCGGGGGACCCGCAAGGGCCUUGUGCGAUUGGAGCGGCCGAUGUCCGAUUAGCUAGUUGGUGGGGUAAAGGCCUACCAAGGCUUCGAUCGGUAGCUGGUCCGAGAGGAUGAUCAGCCACACUGGGACCGAGACACGGCCCAGACUCCUACGGGAGGCAGCAGUGGGGAAUUUUGGACAAUAGGGGCAACCCUGAUCCAGCCAUGCCGCGUGAGUGAAGAAGGCCUU